AUCGCUCUUUUAACAAUAUAGCCCCAUCCCAAUACACCUUUAAUCUUGUUUGUAGCUAUCCGGAAUCCCUUUCUCAAGAUCGAUCGCACUUCUCUGUGUCUUGUUCUUUCCUUCUUCAAAAUCGAUCACACCCCACCAAAAAUCACAACUUCAAACUAGAAAUUGGACCUACACUUUUUCCUGUUCUUGCUUUGAUCGAAGAUGAUCCUCUAAUCGAUCACCAAAACCUUCCUUGCUCCCACCCACUAUUGACUACAGGGAACACUGAUGGUGGUGGGGGGAUUAGGAUCAACAUGUGGUGUACAGUGGUUCAGGUAGGGUGGAGGAGUCGAUGAUGGUAGUUUGAAGGCUCGGUGGUGGUUGAGAUCAAAAAUUUCAUCGUUAAUAUGUACUCAUCUGAUACAUACAUUAUUGCUUUCUUGAUUAACCUUUAAGCUAAAUUUUAGUACACGGAUGUUGCCAACAAAA